rnacentral:rRNA from 1 species
UACGAAGGGGGCUAGCGUUGUUCGGAUUUACUGGGCGUAAAGCGCACGUAGGCGGAUUGGUCAGUUAGGGGUGAAAUCCUGGAGCUCAACUCCAGAACUGCCUUUAAUACUGCCAGUCUCGAGUCCGGAAGAGGUAAGUGGAACUCCUAGUGUAGAGGUGGAAUUCGUAGAUAUUAGGAAGAACACCAGUGGCGAAGGCGGCUUACUGGUCCGGUACUGACGCUGGGGUGCGAAAGCGUAGGGAGCAAACAGG